CCUACGGGAGGCUGCAGUGAGGAAUAUUGGUCAAUGGACGAGAGUCUGAACCAGCCAAGUAGCGUGAAGGAUGACUGCCCUAUGGGUUGUAAACUUCUUUUAUAUGGGAAUAAAAUGGUCCACGUGUGGGAUUUUGUAUGUAACAUAUGAAUAAGGAGCGGCUAACUCCGUGCCAGCAGCCGCGGUAAUACGGAGGAUCCGAGCGUUAUCCGGAUUUAUGGGGUUUAACGGGAGCGUAGGGGGAUUGUUAAGGCAGUUGUGAAAGUUUGCGGCUCAACCGUAAAAUUGCAGUUGAAACUGGCAGUCUUGAGUACCGUAGAGGUGGGCGGAAUUCGUGGUGUCGCGGUGAACUGCUUAGAUAUCACGAAGAACUCCGAUUGCGAAGGCAGCUCACUGGACUGCAACUGACACUGAGGCUCGAAAGUGUGGGUAUCAAACCGGAUUAGAUACCCUUGUAGUC
rnacentral:rRNA from 1 species